AUAGGUUACAGAGGCUAUAUAAGAAGCAGCCGCACAAGACCAAAAGGGGGAUUCACGUUUUGGGAAAAUAAAACAGGCACAAAGCAUCACGCACAACGGGAGCAGCUACCAAUCGGAAAGAAAUUCAGGAGCAACGUCCGCAACUACGAAACUCUCGGUUUUGUUUUCUUUUUAUGUUGUUUAAUUCUAUGAACAUGAGUAGCUAAGCUCUUAGAUUAAUCGAGCCAUGAGAUGAAUCUAUUGUGAUCUAUGAACCAUGUAAUUUGUUUGAACUCUAUUUAAUUCAACGGAAUCCUAGUCUUUAUUCAAAAUUAUUUGUGUUCAUUGAUGACUAUUAA
rnacentral:lncRNA from 1 species